UACGUAGGGUGCAAGCGUUGUCCGGAAUUAUUGGGCGUAAAGAGCUCGUAGGCGGUUUGUCGCGUCUGCUGUGAAAACUCGAGGCUCAACCUCGAGACGUCGGCGGAAACCGAUCUGGCUAGAGUCCGGAAGAGGAGAGUGGAAUUCCUGGUGUAGCGGUGAAAUGCGCAGAUAUCAGGAAGAACACCCGUGGCGAAGGCGGCUCUCUGGGACGGUACUGACGCUGA
rnacentral:rRNA from 1 species